rnacentral:rRNA from 1 species
UCCGGUUGAUCCUGCCAGAGGCCGCUGCUAUCCGGCUGGGACUAAGCCAUGCUAGUCUAGGGGCUUGUACCCCUUCGGGGGUGCAAGCACCGGCGGACGGCUCAGUAACACGUGGACAACCUGCCCUCGGGUGGGGGAUAACCCCGGGAAACUGGGGCUAAUCCCCCAUAGGUGAUGGGUGCUGGAAUGCCCCAUCUCCGAAAGCGCUCAGCGCCCGAGGAUGGGUCUGCGGCGGAUUAGGUAGUUGGUGGGGUAACGGCCCACCAAGCCUAAGAUCCGUACGGGCUGUGGGAGCAGGAGCCCGGAGAUGGACCCUGAGACAAGGGUCCAGGCCCUACGGGGCGCAGCAGGCGCGAAACCUCCGCAAUGCGGGAAACCGCGACGGGGUUAGCCGGAGUGCCCGUGCAUUGCACGGGCUGUCGGGGUGCCUAAACAGCACCCCAUAGCAAGGGCCGGGCAAGGCCGGUGGCAGCCGCCGCGGUAAGACCGGCGGCCCGAGUGGCGGCCACUCUUAUUGGGCCUAAAGCGUCCGUAGCCGGCCCAGUAAGUCCCCCGGGAAAUCUGGUCGCUUAACGAUCAGACUUCCGGGGGAUACUGCUGGGCUAG